rnacentral:rRNA from 1 species
GAUGAACGCUGGCGGCGUGCUUAACACAUGCAAGUCGAACGGGAAUUACUUUAUUGAAACUUCGGUCGAUUUAAUUUAAUUCUAGUGGCGGACGGGUGAGUAACGCGUGGGUAACCUGCCUUAUACAGGGGGAUAACAGUCAGAAAUGACUGCUAAUACCGCAUAAGCGCACCGGACCGCAUGGUCCGGUGUGAAAAACUCCGGUGGUAUAAGAUGGACCCGCGUUGGAUUAGCUGGUUGGUGGGGUAACGGCCCACCAAGACGACGAUCCAUAGCCGGCCUGAGAGGGUGAACGGCCUCAUUGGGACUGAGACACGGCCCAGACUCCUACGGGAGGCAGCAGUGCGGAAUAUUGCACAAUGGGGGAAACCCUGAUGCAGCGACGCCGCGUGAAGGAAGAAGUAUCUCGGUAUGUAAACUUCUAUCAGCAGGGAAGAUAGUGACGGUACCUGACUAAGAAGCCCCGGCUAACUACGUGCCAGCCGCCGCGGUAA